CUCAACUUUACUAAAACGCAAAUUCAGUUCAACAAGGUUCUUUGGCUUGAAAUUUGAUGGCAGUGUCCUUAAUGGAUAUGUGUCCCAAUGAAGAUAUCUCAAUUUUUUAGGAAGAUAAUCUAGGCCAUUUGGAAGCUGCACUUUAGAGUAUGAAAGUUGCUCUUCAAUGCUCAUACUUAGAAACUUUUCAAUCUCAGGUACAUAAAAUUUGAGCAAUCUUAGAUUAGACAUUUUUGUGAAGGCUCCUGGGUCUAAAUUGAUGCCUUUUAUUUUGGACAAAUCCAGAAAUAUGCCUUCAAUUGCAUCGGUCCCCUUAUUAAAAAAAAAAAAACAAAGAAUGAGUAACCCUAAAACAGAAAAGAAACAUUCGCAAACUUUAUUAACUAAGAACUCCUUAAACAAAAACAAAUUCUGCAAUCUUUGAUUUUAUUUUUUAAAAAUAUUAAAUAUCUAUAUAUGAGAAAAGAAAAUUUUGGGGACCAUUGCAAAAUUAAACUAACCAAAAAAAAAAUUCAAAAUUUCUCUAAUUUACAAACCUGUUAUCUUAAUAACUAGAAGUUGAGAAGACAAGGCCUAUUUGAUUGGUAUAAGAUUUCGAUUUGUUUUUUAGUCCAUAGAAUCCAAAAUGUUAGUUCAAAAUUAGGGAAAAAAAAUGAAAGUUAUUUUUUUUCCACUAGUUGUAAUUGUUUCCAAGUCAAAUUGAGAUACGACCCUUUUCGAAAGGAUUUAAUCAUCUUAUAGCCUCCUUAAGAUACAUUUAAGCUAAAAGGAGUGAUUGGAGGCAGAACUUAGUGGGCCAAUCAGUUCAUUUUAUUAGCGACUGUUGCUUAAAAAAAAUUAUACUCUAAAACACACUUACUUUUUUGAAAAAAAAUAUAAUUAUAUUGAAGUAGAACCAGGUGGGCCAAUCCUCAUGGCACUCACUUUGUUCUGACACUCUUCACUAAAUUUGAAGAAAAAUAAAAUUAUACUCUUCACACUCUUAUUCAACAUUCCAAAAUUGAUAAAAUCUGGAGUUUUCUUUAAAAUUUUAAAAUUUGAAGACUUGUUCUCUUGACACCCUCAGUCAUUAAUUUUACCUAAUUAUGGUUUUGGUUGUUUUGUUCAUAAAAAUGCUUUUACUAAAGGAUGUUCUGGUAAUGAAAAAAUUUAUAAAAAAACAAACAUGGGUGUGCUGAUAUAGUUGGAAAAAUAUGAGUGCAUAACUCCAAACAAAUAAAAGAUACAUAAAAAAAAAAAAGGAGGAUUCUUACCAUAUUAUGCUUUAGUACGCGGCGGAUUUCCUUAGGAUCCCACAACCUACUGCGUCUGCCUGGCUCUUCCUCAGAUUCUUGGCGAACAAUCUCUCGGCCCAUUUCUUGCAAUAAAUCAUGCAUUUGCAAGCAGUUAUCUGACACUGUUAUAAGUGACUUGUCCACGAGGACAUCCAGUCUGUGAGACCCAGAAUCAUCAAGUAUCCUUAACACAAAAUCUUUAUCCUCUCCCUCAAGGAAACACGCAAUAUCUAGAAACAUACUCUUCACCCUGGGCGUUAAUUCUUUAAAACUAAUCUUUAAUGUAUCAUAAAUACCAUGAAUAUCAGAUUCACAAAUCCGAUUUAAGUCGUCCAAUACAUUUUCCCAAUGGCUUUUCCCCUUGAGAUACAGGGAGGAACCCAACACUUUAAGAACUAAUGGAUUGCCAUCGGCAUACCAUACAACCCUCCAUGAGUGCCGGUAGAGAUCUUCAGGACAAUGAUUUUCUUUAACAGCGAAGUUACAAAAAUGCUCGAAAGCCUCAUCAAAUUUCAAUCCAUUGACCCUAUAUAUUUUCUCCACUCCAAAUUUUUCGAGGACUCGUUUAUCCCUGGUGGUUACAACAAUUCUACUUCCUGGACCAUAUUGAUCAAGCCCUCCAAUCAAACCCUCUAAUUGUUCAUCUUUAUUCACAUCAUCGAGUACAAUCAACACCUUCAUGCGUCGGACCCUCCCUUUAGUAAAUUGUGGAAUAUUGGGACCAGCUACUUCAAGUUUUUCACUUAAUAUUGUCGAAAGCAUUUCCUUUUGUAGGUCUUCUAGGCCACCCUCUGUUUCUGAUUUUCUCCCUGCUGUACCGUACAUCCGCCUUGGCCGUACAGCAGAAAAAAAUUAAUGUUUUAGUUUUAGUACAAAACUUACCUUUUCUCCUUCCCAAAGUUGCUCAACUUUACUAAAACGCAAAUUCAGUUCAACAAGGUUCAUUGGCUUGAAAUUUGAUGGCAGUGUCCUUAAUGGAUAUGUGUCCCAAUGAAGAUAUCUCAAUUUUUUAGGAAGAUAAUCUAGGCCAUUUGGAAGCUGCACUUUAGAGUAUGAAAGUUGCUCUUCAAUGCUCAUACUUAGAAACCUUUCAAUCUCAGGUACAUAAAAUUUGAGCAAUCUUAGAUUAGACAUUUUUGUGAAGGCUCCUGGGUCUAAAUUGAUGCCUUUUAUUUUGGACAAAUCCAGAAAUAUGCCUUCAAUUGCAUCGGUCCCCUUAUUAAAAAAAAAAACAAAGAAUGAGUAACCCUAAAACAGAAA
rnacentral:lncRNA from 1 species